CCAGACUCCUACGGGAGGCAGCAGUAGGGAAUCUUCGGCAAUGGGGGGAACCCUGACCGAGCAACGCCGCGUGAGUGAAGAAGGUUUUCGGAUCGUAAAGCUCUGUUGUUAAGGAAGAACGAGUGUGAGAAUGGAAAGUUCAUACUGUGACGGUACUUAACCAGAAAGGGACGGCUAACUACGUGCCAGCAGCCGCGGUAAUACGUAGGUCCCGAGCGUUGUCCGGAUUUAUUGGGCGUAAAGCGAGCGCAGGCGGUUAGAUAAGUCUGAAGUUAAAGGCAGUGGCUCAACCAUUGUAGGCUUUGGAAACUGUUUAACUUGAGUGCAGAAGGGGAGAGUGGAAUUCCAUGUGUAACGGUGAAAUGCGUAGAUAUAUGGAGGAACACCGGUGGCGAAAGCGGCUCUCUGGUCUGUAACUGACGCUGAGGCUCGAAAGCGUGGGGAGCGAACAGGAUUAGAUACCCUGGUAGUCCACGCCGUAAACGAUGAGUGCUAGGUGUUAGGUCCUUUCCGGGACUUAGUGCCGCAGCUAACGCAUUAAGCACUCCGCCUGGGGAGUACGACCGCAAGGUUGAAACUCAAAGGAAUUGACGGGGGCCCGCACAAG
rnacentral:rRNA from 1 species